AGCAGCCGCGGUAAUUCCAGCUCCAAUAGCGUAUAUUAAAGUUGUUGCAGUUAAAAAGCUCGUAGUUGAAUUUCGGGAUCAGUUCGCUGGUCGUGCCUCUGGUAUGUACUGGUGUUACUGGUUCCUCCCUUCUGAAGAACUGUCAUGUCAUUAAUUUGGUGUGGCGGGGAAUCAGGACUGUUACUUUGAAAAAUUAGAGUGUUUAAAGCAGGCUCGCGCUUGAAUACAUUAGCAUGGAAUAAUGAAAUAGGACGUUCGAUCCUAUUUUGUUGGUUUCUAGGAUUGACGUAAUGAUUAAUAGGGAUAGUUGGGGGCAUUAGUAUUCAAUUGUCAGAGGUGAAAUUCUUGGGUUUAUUGAAGACUAACUACUGCGAAAGCAUUUGCCAAGGAUGUUUUCAUUAAUCAAGAACGAAAGUUAGGGGAUCGAAGACGAUCAGAUACCGUCGUAGUCUUAACCAUAACUAUGCCGACUAGGGAUCGGAUGAUGUUAAUUUUUAAUGACUCAUUCGGCGUCCG
rnacentral:rRNA from 1 species